rnacentral:rRNA from 1 species
UGCCUGUAAGACUGGGGAUAACUCCUGGGAAACCGGAGCUAAUACCGGAUAACCUUUUGAACCGCAUGGUUCAAAACUGAAAGACGGUUAUGCUGUCACUUACAGAUGGGCCCGCGGCGCAUUAGCUAGUUGGUGAGGUAAUGGCUCACCAAGGCGACGAUGCGUAGCCGACCUGAGAGGGUGAUCGGCCACACUGGGACUGAGACACGGCCCAGACUCCUACGGGAGGCAGCAGUAGGGAAUCUUCCGCAAUGGACGAAAGUCUGACGGAGCAACGCCGCGUGAGUGAUGAAGGUUUCGGA